CAUCCCCCAAUUCAAUCCUAUCCAUCUCCCUCUCCCUCGUCCGCCGCCACCACAGGCAACCUCGGUGCCCCUCUCCCUAACCGCCACCGCCACACCCUCGCCCACAUCCCCGCUCUCCCCUUAUCUCCUUAAACUAGGCGGCCCCCAGAACGAGCAGGCCGAGGCGCUCCCCGAUUUGCGGCGCUGCUUCCGGAUCCGCCGAGCAGCUCUAGAGGUCGGCUCCUUCCUCGCGUUGUUCUGCGCCAAGUUUGGCCUCCCCUUCCUUUUCCCCGUGGUCUAUGGUGGUAACCCCAGAUGGUGAGGCACUCAAUACCAUUGCCGGACGGAGGUUGGGCGAUUUCCUUCCCUGACCUCACGUCCUAGCCACUCCACCGCGAGCUUCUCGCCCCCAGCAGCGUACAAGACAUCCUCCUCCUCAGUGCAGCCGUUCCCAACAAGCUCUCUUUGCCGGAAGAGGUGCAGAACCAAGUCCAGCACCCCCUUGGCCCCUGCAUCCUGUCCUAGAAUGCCUGGACGAGCUCAUUGAUGGCUACGUCCUCCUUACCUCCUAGCGUGAUUGGAACUGUGGAUGCAUUACGGUAUGAUUGAUUGUUGUACGAGAAGCUAUUAUCCUUUUUGUUGUUGUUGGAAGAUAUUCGUUUAUGGGAGCAUUUUCAACAACAAAGACAUGACGAGCGGAUCCACGGCCAGGAAUGCGGGGUCCCAUGGUUGUCCAAUGAGCAUUGUGCGUUGCUUGAUGGGUGUGGUGCUGGUUGUAGAGUAGCAUAGUGUUCUCCAAGACAUGCUUGUAGAAUUAAUCUUUUUUGGUUCUUUUUUUGCUCCUGUACAGGUGUAUUUUUCGGUGUGUUUAUGUAAUUUUUUGCUUUUAAGGACCUGAACAUAUAUUUUCUAUUAAA